UACGGAGGGUGCAAGCGUUAUCCGGAUUCACUGGGGUUAAAGGGUGCGUAGGUGGGCAAGUAAGUCAGUGGUGAAAUCUCCGGGCCUAACCCGGAAACUGCCAUUGAUACUAUUUGUCUUGAAUACUGUGGAGGUCAGCGGAAUAUGUCAUGUAGCGGUGAAAUGCUUAGAUAUGACAUAGAACACCAAUUGCGAAGGCAGCUGGCUACACAAAUAUUGACACUGAGGCACGAAAGCGUGGGGAUCAAACAGG
rnacentral:rRNA from 1 species